rnacentral:rRNA from 1 species
GAUGAACGCUGGCGGCGUGCCUAAUACAUGCAAGUAGAACGCUGAAGGAAGGAGCUUGCUCUUUCCGGAUGAGUUGCGAACGGGUGAGUAACGCGUAGGUAACCUGCCUGGUAGCGGGGGAUAACUAUUGGAAACGAUAGCUAAUACCGCAUAACAGUAGAUGUUGCAUGACAACUAUUUGAAAGGGGCAAUUGCUCCACUACCGGAUGGACCUGCGUUGUAUUAGCUAGUUGGUUAGGUAACGGCUCACCAAGGCGACGAUACAUAGCCGACCUGAAAGGGUGAUCGGCCACACCUGGACUGAGACCCGGCCCAGACUCCUUCGGGAAGCAGCCGUAGGGAAUCUUCGGCAAUGGACGGAAGUCUGACCGGGCAACGCCGCGUGAGGGAAGAAGGUUUUCGGAUCGUUAAGCUCUGUUGUAAGAGAAGAACGAGUGUGGGAGUGGAAAGUUCACACUGUGACGGUAUCUUACCAGAAAGGGACGGCUAACUACGUG